rnacentral:rRNA from 1 species
UACAGAGGGGGCAAGCGUUAUUCGGAAUUAUUGGCGUAAAGGGCGCGUAGGCGGCUUGGCAAGUGGAUGGAUGAAAUCCCUCGGCUUAACCGGAGGAACUGCCAUCCAGACUGCUUUGCUUGAGGCCGGGAGAGGUGAGUGGAAUUCCAGGCGUAGCGGUGAAAUGCGUAGAUAUCUGGAGGAACACCGGUGGCGAAGGCGGCAUCCUGGACCGACACUGACGCUGAUGCGCGAAAGCUGAGGGGAGCGAACGGGGAUUAAGAAACC